rnacentral:lncRNA from 1 species
GGGACCUUAAGAGAAAAUAUUAUCCCAUGUUUUUUGGAUGGAUUAGGAGGCGAGAGAGAAUUUCUAUUAUAAGUUACAAUGAAUAGUGAGUACGUACUCCCUCUAUUACAAAUUGUAAAUUGUUUUAUGUUUGUCAUAGUCAAACUUCAAACUAGUUUUAUAAGAUAGAUUGUGAAACAUAUCCUGAUGAUGCAUCUAUGUGAUAUUGUCAAAUGUCAAUGUUAAUAUAUUUUUCUAUAAAUUUAGUCAAAAUUAGACAGAUUUGACUUGGAACAAAGAUAAAUUCACCCACAAUUUGAAAUGGAGGCUAGGUGUUUCAAUCGUCCACCUAAACCAUAAAUUCCC